AGUAGAGUGGCGCACGGGUGAGUAACGCGUAAGUAAUCUACCCUGGUAUCUGGGAUAACCCACCGAAAGGUGUGCUAAUACCGGAUACGCUGAUUUAUCAGGAAAGGUGGCCUCUUCAUGAAAGCUACUGUACCAGGAGGAGCUUGCGUACCAUUAGCUAGUUGGUAGGGUAAUGGCCUACCAAGGCAACGAUGGUUAGCGGGUCUGAGAGGAUGAUCCGCCACACUGGAACUGGAACACGGACCAGACUCCUACGGGAGGCAGCAGUGAGGAAUAUUGCGCAAUGGGGGAAACCCUGACGCAGCGACGCCGCGUGGAUGAUGAAGGCCUUCGGGUCGUAAAAUCCUGUCAGAUGGAAAGAAAUGUAGUAUGCCUAAUACGUGUACUAUUUGACGGUACCAUCAAAGGAAGCACCGGCUAACUCCGUGCCAGCAGCCGCGGUAAUACGGAGGGUGCAAGCGUUGUUCGGAAUUACUGGGCGUAAAGCGCGCGUAGGCGGCUAUGUAAGUCAGAUGUGAAAGUCCACGGCUCAACCGUGGAAGUGCAUUUGAAACUGGAUGGCUUGAGUACUGGAGGGGGUGGUGGAAUUCCCGGUGUAGAGGUGAAAUUCGUAGAUAUCGGGAGGAAUACCGGUGGCGAAGGCGACCACCUGGCCAGAUACUGACGCUGAGGUGCGAAAGCGUGGGGGAGCAAACAGGAUUAGAUACCCUGGUAGUCCACGCCGUAAAACGAUGUCAACUAGGUGUUGGGACGGUUAAUCGUCUCAUUGCCGCAGCUAACGCAUUAAGUUGACCGCCUGGGGAG
rnacentral:rRNA from 1 species